rnacentral:rRNA from 1 species
CUAUGGGCUGCUGCAGUGAGGAAUUUUGCGCAAUGGGGGGAACCCUGACGCAGCAACGCCGCGUGAGUGAUGAAGGCUUUCGGGUCGUAAAGCUCUGUCAAGUGGGAAGAACCUAUGCAGUGUUAAUAUCACUGUAUACUGACGGUACCACUGAAGGAAGCACCGGCUAACUCCGUGCCAGCAGCCGUGGUAAUACGGGGGGUGCAAGCGUUAUUCGGAAUCAUUGGGCGUAAAGGGCACGUAGGCGGCUUGGUAAGUCAGAUGUGAAAGCCCGGGGCUUAACCCCGGAAGUGCAUUUGAUACUGUCAGGCUUGAGUAUGGGAGAGGGAAGUGGAAUUCCUGGUGUAGAGGUGAAAUUCGUAGAUAUCAGGAGGAACACCGGUGGCGAAGGCGACUUCCUGGACCAAUACUGACGCUGAGGUGCGAAGGCGUGGGUAGCAAACAGGAUUAGAUACCCCAGUAGUC